rnacentral:rRNA from 1 species
UACGUAGGUGGCGAGCGUUAUCCGGAAUUAUUGGGCGUAAAGAGCGCGCAGGUGGUUGAUUAAGUCUGAUGUGAAAGCCCACGGCUUAACUGUGGAGGGUCAUUGGAAACUGGUCGACUUGAGUGCAGAAGAGGGAAGUGGAAUUCCAUGUGUAGCGGUGAAAUGCGUAGAGAUAUGGAGGAACACCAGUGGCGAAGGCGGCUUCCUGGUCUGUAACUGACACUGAGGCGCGAAAGCGUGGGGAGCAAACAGGAUUAGA